rnacentral:rRNA from 1 species
GACAGAGGGUGCAAACGUUGUUCGGAAUUACUGGGCGUAAAGACGCGUGUAGGCGGCCAUCUAAGUCGGGCGUGAAAUCCCACGGCUCAACCGUGGAAGUGCACUCGAAACUGGAUGGCUAGAGUCCUGGAGAGGAAGGUGGAAUGCUUGGUGUAGAGGUGAAAUUCGUAGAUAUCAAGCGGAACACCGGUGGCGAAGGCGGCCUUCUGGACAGUGACUGACGCUGAGACGCGAAAGCGUGGGGAAGCAAACAGGG